rnacentral:rRNA from 1 species
UGUGUAGGCGGCUUUUCAAGUUUGGUGUGAAAUCUCCCGGCUCAACUGGGAGGGUGCGCCGAAAACUGGAGGGCUAGAGUGCGGGAAGGGAGAGUGGAAUUCCUGGUGUAGCGGUGAAAUGCGUAGAUAUCAGGAGGAACACCGGUGGUGUAGACGGCUCUCUGGACCGCCACUGACGCUGAGACACGAAAGCGUGGGUAGCAAACAGGAUUAGAUACCCUGGUAGUCCACGCCCUAAACGAUGCAUAUUUGGUGUGGGUCAUUCAGUUGAUCCGUGCCGGAGCUAACGCGUUAAAUAUGCCGCCUGGGGAGUACAGUCGCAAGGCUGAA